rnacentral:tRNA from 1 species
AUUUUUUAGUCAAUUAUGAUUCAGAAUUGCAAAUUCUUAGGUAACUAGAAGUUAAAAAUUUA